AAUCUGUGAUGUGGACAUUUUUGAAUCAGUGCUUUAAAACGCUCUCAAGCUUCAUGAAAACUCUCUCCCUCUAACUUUUUGAACAUAACAAUCUCUCUUGUUAGCUGGACU
rfam:Gossypium raimondii chromosome 2, whole genome shotgun sequence.